rnacentral:rRNA from 1 species
UCAGGAUGAACGCUAGCGACAGGCUUAACACAUGCAAGUCGAGGGGCAGCAUAGAGGUAGCAAUACUCGGUGGCGACCGGCGCACGGGUGAGUAACGCGUAUGCAACCUACCUAUCAGAAGGGGAAUAACCCGGCGAAAGUCGGACUAAUACCGCAUAAAACAGGGGCACCGCAUGGUGAUAUUUGUUAAAGAAAUUCGCUGAUAGAUGGGCAUGCGUUCCAUUAGGUAGUUGGUGAGGUAACGGCUCACCAAGCCGACGAUGGAUAGGGGAACUGAGAGGUUGGUCCCCCACACUGGUACUGAGACACGGACCAGACUCCUACGGGAGGCAGCAGUGAGGAAUAUUGGUCAAUGGGCGGGAGCCUGAACCAGCCAAGUCGCGUGAAGGAAGAAGGAUCUAUGGUUCGUAAACUUCUUUUGCAGGGGAAUAAAGUGCAGGACGUGUCCUGUUUUGUAUGUACCCUGAGAAUAAGGAUCGGCUAACUCCGUGCCAGCCGCCGC